GUAGGAAGUGGCAGUCAGAUUUACGUUCCCCGGGCAAGAGAACAAACAACCUGAGUCUCCACAGGAGGGAUGGACAAGCUCCUGGGGGCAUCACUGUUGAUCCUGUGGCUUCAGCCAGACUGGGUGAAUAACCAACAGAAGGAGAAAGAAGGCCAGCAGGUUAAGCAAAGUCCUCCAUCCUUGAGGGUCCAGGAAGGAGGAAUUUCAAUUCUGAACUGUGUGGAUAGUAAUGAAGAUGGAAGAUUCACAGUCUUCCUGAAUAAAAGUGCCCAACACCUCUCUCUGAACAUCACAGCUGCACAGCCUGAAGACUCAGCCUUGUACUUUUGUGCAGCCAGUGCACAGUGCUCUCCAGGCACCUGCAACCUCUACCUAAACCUGCAGCUGAAGUCCAAGCCAACCCUUGCUUUGGGGUCUCAGAUUUGGGGGGCACACAGACUUGCUUGCAUUUACACAGGGCGGCAUGAGAGAGUAUGCUUUAAAGUAGGUGAGGCAAGAUGA